AGUGAACGCUGGCGGUAGGCCUAACACAUGCAAGUCGAACGGCAGCACAGUAAGAGCUUGCUCUUACGGGUGGCGAGUGGCGGACGGGUGAGGAAUACAUCGGAAUCUACUUUUUCGUGGGGGAUAACGUAGGGAAACUUACGCUAAUACCGCAUACGACCUACGGGUGAAAGCAGGGGAUCUUCGGACCUUGCGCGAUUGAAUGAGCCGAUGUCGGAUUAGCUAGUUGGCGGGGUAAAGGCCCACCAAGGCGACGAUCCGUAGCUGGUCUGAGAGGAUGAUCAGCCACACUGGAACUGAGACACGGUCCAGACUACUACGGGAGGCAGCAGUGGGGAAUAGUGGACAAUGGGCGCAAGCCUGAUCCAGCCAUACCGAGUGGGUGAAGAAGGCCUUCGGGUUGUAAAGCCCUUUUGUUGGGAAAGAAAAGCAGCAGGUUAAUACCCCGCUGUUCUGACGGUACCCAAAGAAUAAGCACCGGCUAACUUCGUG
rnacentral:rRNA from 1 species